UACGAAGGGGGCUAGCGUUGCUCGGAAUGACUGGGCGUAAAGGGCGCGUAGGCGGCUCAUACAGUCAGAUGUGAAAUUCCUGGGCUUAACCUGGGGGCUGCAUUUGAUACGUGUGGGCUUGAGUGGGGAAGAGGGUCGUGGAAUUCCCAGUGUAGAGGUGAAAUUCGUAGAUAUUGGGAAGAACACCGGUGGCGAAGGCGGCUCACUGGCCCGAUACUGACGCUGAGGCACGAAAGCGUGGGGAGCAAACAGG
rnacentral:rRNA from 1 species